GUUGGCCGGGCGACGGUUGUCCCGGUUUAAGCGUGUAGGUGUGUGUUCCAGGUAAAUCCGGUUCACUUUAACACUGAGGCGUGACGACGAGGCACUACGGUGCUGAAGCAACAAAUGCCCUGCUUCCAGGAAAAGCCUCUAAGCAUCAGGUAACAUCAAAUCGUACCCCAAACCGACACAGGUGGUCAGGUAGAGAAUACCAAGGCGCUUGAGAGAACUCGGGUGAAGGAACUAGGCAAAAUGGUGCCGUAACUUCGGGAGAAGGCACGCUGACAUGUAGGUGAAGUGAUUUACUCAUGGAGCUGAAGUCAGUCGAAGAUACCAGCUGGCUGCAACUGUUUAUUAAAAACACAGCACUGUGCAAACACGAAAGUGGACGUAUACGGUGUGACGCCUGCCCGGUGCCGGAAGGUUAAUUGAUGGGGUCAGCGCAAGCGAAGCUCCUGAUCGAAGCCCCGGUAAACGGCGGCCGUAACUAUAACGGUCCUAAGGUAGCGAAAUUCCUUGUCGGGUAAGUUCCGACCUGCACGAAUGGCGUAAUGAUGGCCAGGCUGUCUCCACCCGAGACUCAGUGAAAUUGAACUCGCUGUGAAGAUGCAGUGUACCCGCGGCAAGACGGAAAGACCCCGUGAACCUUUACUAUAGCUUGACACUGAACAUUGAGCCUUGAUGUGUAGGAUAGGUGGGAGGCUUUGAAGUGUGGACGCCAGUCUGCAUGGAGCCGACCUUGAAAUACCACCCUUUAAUGUUUGAUGUUCUAACGUGGACCCGUUACCCGGGUUGCGGACAGUGUCUGGUGGGUAGUUUGACUGGGGCGGUCUCCUCCUAAAGAGUAACGGAGGAGCACGAAGGUUGGCUAAUCCUGGUCGGACAUCAGGAGGUUAGUGCAAUGGCAUAAGCCAGCUUGACUGCGAGCGUGACGGCGCGAGCAGGUGCGAAAGCAGGUCAUAGUGAUCCGGUGGUUCUGAAUGGAAGGGCCAUCGCUCAACGGAUAAAAGGUACUCCGGGGAUAACAGGCUGAUACCGCCCAAGAGUUCAUAUCGACGGCGGUGUUUGGCACCUCGAUGUCGGCUCAUCACAUCCUGGGGCUGAAGUAGGUCCCAAGGGUAUGGCUGUUCGCCAUUUAAAGUGGUACGCGAGCUGGGUUUAGAACGUCGUGAGACAGUUCGGUCCCUAUCUGCCGUGGGCGCUGGAGAACUGAGGGGGGCUGCUCCUAGUACGAGAGGACCGGAGUGGACGCAUCACUGGUGUUCGGGUUGUCAUGCCAAUGGCACUGCCCGGUAGCUAAAUGCGGAAGAGAUAAGUGCUGAAAGCAUCUAAGCACGAAACUUGCCCCGAGAUGAGUUCUCCCUGAGACUU
rnacentral:rRNA from 1 species